UGUAGUGGUAUUAGUGUGACAUAAUGACAGUGUGACGUGUAGUUGGUAUUAGUGUGACAUAAUGAUAGUGUGACGUGUAGUUGGUAUUAGUGUGACAUAAUGACAGUGUGACGUGUAGUUGGUAUUAGUGUGACAUAAUGACAGUGUGACGUGUAGUUGGUAUUAGUGUGACAUAAUGAUAGUGUGACGUGUAGUGUUGGACAGAUACACCGUCUACAGUCGGAGACGACAGGGACGGAUGAAUGGCAUGAGACGACCGACAGACGGAAUGUGUGUCACCCAUGGUUGAGGAUAACGCCGAGUCAUGGUAUGACAUUGUUUACACUGGCGUUAUUUAACUGGCUCGCGUUCAAGCCAAGACUGAAGUGAAUGACAUUUACAUGUGAAAGUGAAAGUCUUUUACAUGUCUCGGACAAACAUGAAUAAGACAUGUAUUCAUAUGAAAAAUACAUUAUGUGCACGCACCAAUUUGGGUGUAAGAUUUAUGAAACAGCUGUUACACGUACACCUGGAGAACAGCCAAACAUCGUUUACCGUAUAUUUCAUAUAUAAAAAACUAGUUUUCAUUUAUUCAAAGACACAGGUCUUUGGUUCGUUAUUGGUCUCACUUGCGACACUUCAGUUUUUAUUGGCAGGUUGAAACGGGUCGAGAUAACUGUUUAACUGUGUAACUGUUUAAAUCAAUCAAAUGGCUGUCUGCAGUCCUUAUUUCCCUAUGUUUG